CCUAUUUUGUGCAGCUUCUGUCUAAUGCAGACAAAAUUCCUCCUUCUCACAAGGAUUCCAGGAGAAGGUGAAGGCAGAGAGGAAGAGCAAGUGGAGCCAAGCAUUGUCUUUUACCCUGAACUCCCUGUUUUGAAACACUUGUCAAGCUCACUAAGAAGUGCAUAUAGCAGUGGAAGAAGGUAAAAGGUUUCCAGAGAAUCGUUUUCUCUUGCCUGUUUACUUGCAGUGGUGGGCCAUGUCUGUUCUGCUAAGCGAGGAUGGAUAAUUCAAAAUAAUACUCUACUCAGCUACUUUUUAAAAUAUGAAUGUACCAAGACUAUGACACGAAAAAAGCAGUGUCCCAUGGCACAAUGUGAAAACACUGGGUGAAAGGCACACCUUACUGAAGUCAAAGGGAAGAUUGCUUUCAAUGGAACUGGGAUUUCACCCAGGAAAUCCCACAGACUGUUUGGGUCCUACUUACGCCCAAAGGAUGGAUACGUUAAAUUGUAGCUGUGCUAUGGCCAAGCUGAUGAAGAUUUCCUAACCACUGUCUCUGCAGAAGCCUAUUGGUA